CGCCCAUCAGUCAGAAUGGAUUAACAGCUUUCCUUUGAAGAGAGGAGAAGACCCAAAUUAUAGGAAGAGGACAGAUGAUAUUCAAGAAAGAUAAGAUGGAAACAAGCAGAGGCUCCCUGCUAACAGAGACACACUCAUGUUACACUGUGUUCAACACCGUGAGGGGGCACAAUGACUUCUCCUUCCGCUGUGAGAUCAACACUCCUCUUAAAGAGUAAUCGGAAACUGGGAGGCUCAAGAUCCGUCAAUCUACACCUCAGCUACUGCCGCACCCAUCUUCACUAUUUACACAGCAAGAGCACUGAACAAGUGGAGAAACUGGAUCACGUCUACAGAGGAGUAAAUGUUACUAAUUGAAGGCUACAUAUAUGAAAACAGCAAAAGGAAAAAUAGCUGAAUAAAGCCUGCCAGAGAGGCAUUAGGAAGAAGUGAGCUCAUCAAAUCUCAUCAGCCUGAUAUAAAUCUCUGCUGGAGUUUAGUUGCUGCACGUUACAAACAUUUCUGACUAGCUAAAAAAAAUAAAAGGCUGAAACGUCAUUUUGUAAGUCUAUAUGUACAAAUAUUUAGUUCCCUAGCAACACUGAGCUAAAAGUAAAUCAGGCUAAAACACCAUGUCUGCAAUCAGCAAAAACGUUGAAGAUUAUCAUGUUCAG